UACAGAGGUGGCAAGCGUUGUUCGGAAUUACUGGGCGUAAAGGGCGCGUAGGCGGUCUUGCAAGUCCUGUGUGAAAUCCCUCGGCUCAACUGAGGAACUGCACAGGAAACUGCUUGGCUUGAGUUCGGGAGAGGGAAGCGGAAUUCCACGUGUAGCGGUGAAAUGCGUAGAGAUGUGGAGGAACACCAGUGGCGAAGGCGGCUUUCUGGUCUGUAACUGACGCUGAGGCGCGAAAGCGUGGGGAGCAAACAGG
rnacentral:rRNA from 1 species